rnacentral:rRNA from 1 species
GUAGGUGGCAAGCGUUGUCCGGAAUUAUUGGGCGUAAAGCGCGCGCAGGCGGUUCUUUAAGUCUGAUGUGAAAGCCCACGGCUCAACCGUGGAGGGUCAUUGGAAACUGGAGAACUUGAGUACAGAAGAGGAAAGCGGAAUUCCACGUGUAGCGGUGAAAUGCGUAGAGAUGUGGAGGAACACCAGUGGCGAAGGCGGCUUUCUGGUCUGUAACUGACGCUGAGGCGCGAAAGCGUGGGGAGCAAACAGGGAUUAGAUACCCUGGUAGUCCACGCCGUAAACGAUGAGUGCUAAGUGUUAGGGGGUUUCCGCCCCCUUAGUGCUGCAGCUAACGCAUUAAGCACUCCGCCUGGAGAGUACGGCCGCAAGGCUG